AGAGUUUGAUCAUGGCUCAGGACGAACGCUGGCGGCGUGCUUAACACAUGCAAGUCGAGCGAUGAAGCACCUUCGGGUGUGAAUUAGCGGCGAACGGGUGAGGAACACGUGAGAAAUCUGCCUUCAACACUGGGAUAACUCCGGGAAACCGGGGCUAAUACCGGAUAUGAAAUCUGCGGGCAUCCGCGGAUUUGGAAAGUUUUUCGGUUGAAGAUGAUCUCGCGGCCUAUCAGCUUGUUGGUGAGGUAAUGGCUCACCAAGGCGACGACGGGUAGCCGGCCUGAGAGGGCGACCGGCCACACUGGGACUGAGACACGGCCCAGACUCCUACGGGAGGCAGCAGUGGGGAAUAUUGGGCAAUGGAGGAAACUCUGACCCAGCGACGCCGCGUGAGGGAUGAAGGCCUUCGGGUUGUAAACCUCUUUCAGUAGGGAAGAAGCGAAAGUGACGGUACCUACAGAAGAAGCACCGGCUAACUAUGUGCCAGCAGCCGCGGUAAUACAUAGGGUGCAAGCGUUGUCCGGAAUUAUUGGGCGUAAAGAGCUCGUAGGUGGUUCGAUACGUCGGAUGUGAAAAUCAGGGGCUCAACCCCUGACCUGCAUCCGAUACGGUCGAGCUAGAGUUUGGUAGGGGAGACUGGAAUUCCUGGUGUAGCGGUGGAAUGCGCAGAUAUCAGGAGGAACACCGAUGGCGAAGGCAGGUCUCUGGGCCAAUACUGACACUGAGGAGCGAAAGCGUGGGGAGCGAACAGGAUUAGAUACCCUGGUAGUCCACGCCGUAAACGGUGGGCGCUAGUUGUGCGAACCUUCCACGGUUUGUGCGACGCAGCUAACGCAUAAGCGCCCCGC
rnacentral:rRNA from 1 species